UACGGAGGAUCCAAGCGUUAUCCGGAUUUAUUGGGUUUAAAGGGUGCGUAGGCGGCUUAUUAAGUCAGGGGUGAAAGUCGGUGGCUCAACCAUCGCAGUGCCCUUGAUACUGAUGAGCUUGAAUACACUUGAGGUAGGCGGAAUGUGACAAGUAGCGGUGAAAUGCAUAGAUAUGUCACAGAACACCAAUUGCGAAGGCAGCUUACUAAGGUGCAAUUGACGCUGAGGCACGAAAGCGUGGGGAUCAAACAGG
rnacentral:rRNA from 1 species